AAUAACCCCUUAAUCCCCAUGUUAUUUUCAAAUAUCCUAAAAAAUGGAUGGGGUUAGUAAUUCCAACUCAAAUAAAUUAUUCCGGAUUAGCUAACUCCACCUAACCCUACCAAAUUCCAACCAAACACUAUUUUCUAUUCAUAAUAAUCCACUAUCUUUCUUAUCCCACAUACUCAAAUCAAUCAUUAUCCUUCUUUAUCAAUCGUUAUCUUCUUAUCCCACCUACUCCAACCAAAUACUAUUUUUCAUUAUUCUAAACUAACUUCAACUCCCAACCAAACAAAAAAAAACUUUAACCCCAUUUUAAUCCUAAACUUAACUCUAUCCCUGGAAUAACUACUUUUUUCUUAACCCCGAACCAAACGAAGGUUAAAUAUACUGAACUAGUGAAGACACC
rnacentral:lncRNA from 1 species